rnacentral:rRNA from 1 species
UACAGAGGGUGCAAGCGUUGUUCGGAAUUAUUGGGCGUAAAGGGCGCGUAGGCGGUGCGGUAAGUCUGCGGUGAAAUCUCCCGGCUCAACUGGGAGGCUGCCGUGGAAACUGCCGUGCUUGAGUGUGGGAGAGGUGAGUGGAAUUCCCGGUGUAGCGGUGAAAUGCGUAGAUAUCGGAGGAACACCUGUGGCGAAAGCGGCUCACUGGACCACAACUGACGCUGAGGCGCGAAAGCUAGGGGAGCAACAGG